AUGGAGAUGUGGAAAUAUCGGGUCGUAGGAUCGGUGGCCGCCCUGCUCUUGCUACUCGCCAUCGUCGUGCCGUUUACUCAGACCCGGACGCAGAGCGCACGGGACAAGGCUGCCAUGGCGGAAGACGCGGGGCCGUUGGUGGGAGGCAUCAAGGACUCGCCGAUGGGCCAGGAGAACGACCUCGACGUCAUCGCGCUCGCCCGCUUCGCCGUCUCCGAGCACAACAACAAGGCCGCGCGCCCCAGCUUUGCAAGGAUCUGCAGCUAUGGUGUUGAUGCAGCUAUCAAUCGGACAUGGUUUAGCGUGUUCUCGUGUAAUAUCAAGAAUAAGUCCGCUUCUUGCAAGUUGUUUUAA
rnacentral:rRNA from 1 species